rnacentral:lncRNA from 1 species
GUCAUAAACAUUAUGUUCAAAUUUCAUUGAUUUCUAUUUACUUAAACUAAAGUUAUUGUGCGAAAACCAAGAAUAAUGCUUAUUUGGGCCCUUUUUUGGCCCCUAAUUCCUUAACUGUUGAAACCAAAACUCCCAAAAUCAAUCCCAACCUUUCUUUUGUGGUCAUCAACCUUGUGUCAAAAUUUCAUAGAUUUCUAUUAACUUAAACUAAAGUUAUAGUGCGAAAACCAAGAAAAUGCUUAUUUGGGCCCUUUUUGGCCCCUAAUUCCUAAAAUGUUGGGACCCAAACUCCCAAAAUCAAUACCAACCUUCCUUUUAUGGUCAUAAACCUUGUGUUAAAAUUUCAUAGAUUUCUAUUCACUUUUACUAAAGUUAGAGUGCGAAAACUAAAAGUAUUCGGACGACGACGACGACAACGACGACGACGACGCCAACGUGAUAGCAAUAUACGACGAAAAUUUUUUCAAAAUUUGCGGUCGUAUAAAAAUAGUAUAUAAACUAAUUAUACUUGAAUGAUUUUCUUUUAUUCAAUUUACAUAAAUCUGGGUUUAGUUGUAUUUUAUUAGAACUUUUGAUUUCUGAUGCUUUAUCAUUUCAUAAUUGAUUGGGCCUUUCACUUUUUCCAACUGAAUUCGUUUUUGAUGAAACCCUGUGUUUAUUAGCAAUGUUUUCGUUAUGGUACGCACACACGCCCGUGCGUUCGAUGGACUGUUCCUAAAGACACUAGCUGAGUCUUGUUAUCAUAACUUUCCCUCAAUUUUCCAAAAUAAGCCGAAAACAUGCUUCUAUUCAAUAUUUUAACCGGACAUUCACUUUCGUUUUAAUUCGAUGUAUGUUAUGAAAAAUCCCGAGCAAUGCGAAAGAAAAUAUGACUACAUGACACACGCUAAUUGGAUAAACACCGAGAAGAUCGAAAUAUUUACAAAAACACGUGUACCUAUCAAGCAACGGAAAACUCAAACAGGGACCCAUUACAGCUACUUGAUGCAGGGA